CAAUUGGCCCUUAAUUGGGGUCGGGUAUCAACGGAACUACUUAGUUGUGACUGUCUUUAUCUAUUCAAUUUUAACUUACUGACAAAGUGAAAAUUCUUUGGAGAAUAAGUAAGACGAGAAGACCCUUAGAUUUUUAUCCAAGCUAGAUCUAAUAAUUAUCUAUUACCAUUUUGUUGGGGCGACAGAGUAUCAAUAAGGAUCAUACUUAUUCACUAACUCCAUAUAUUCAACUAUUUUUUUACUAAUAAUUAAAAUACCUAAGGGAUAACAGCAUUAUUAAAUUAUUACAUUG
rnacentral:rRNA from 1 species